rnacentral:rRNA from 1 species
GAUGAACGCUGGCGGCGUGCCUAAUACAUGCAAGUCGAGCGAACAGACGAGGAGCUUGCUCCUUUGACGUUAGCGGCGGACGGGUGAGUAACACGUAGGUAACCUACCUAUAAGACUGGGAUAACUUCGGGAAACCGGAGCUAAUACCGGAUAAUAUUUCGAACCGCAUGGUUCGAUAGUGAAAGAUGGCUUUGCUAUCACUUAUAGAUGGACCUGCGCCGUAUUAGCUAGUUGGUAAGGUAACGGCUUACCAAGGCAACGAUACGUAGCCGACCUGAGAGGGUGAUCGGCCACACUGGAACUGAGACACGGUCCAGACUCCUACGGGAGGCAGCAGUAGGGAAUCUUCCGCAAUGGGCGAAAGCCUGACGGAGCAACGCCGCGUGAGUGAUGAAGGUCUUCGGAUCGUAAAACUCUGUUAUUAGGGAAGAACAAACGUGUAAGUAACUGUGCAUGUCUUGACGGUACCUAAUCAGAAAGCCACGGCUAACUACGUG